AUUGAACGCUGGCGGCAGGCCUAACACAUGCAAGUCGAGCGGAUGAAGGGAGCUUGCUCCUGGAUUCAGCGGCGGACGGGUGAGUAAUGCCUAGGAAUCUUCCUGGUAGUGGGGGAUAACGUCCGGAAACGGGCGCUAAUACCGCAUACGUCCUGAGGGAGAAAGUGGGGGAUCUUCGGACCUCACGCUAUCAGAUGAGCCUAGGUCGGAUUAGCUAGUUGGUGGGGUAAAGGCCUACCAAGGCGACGAUCCGUAACUGGUCUGAGAGGAUGAUCAGUCACACUGGAACUGAGACACGGUCCAGACUCCUACGGGAGGCAGCAGUGGGGAAUAUUGGACAAUGGGCGAAAGCCUGAUCCAGCCAUGCCGCGUGUGUGAAGAAGGUCUUCGGAUUGUAAAGCACUUUAAGUUGGGAGGAAGGGCAGUAAGUUAAUACCUUGCUGUUUUGACGUUACCAACAGAAUAAGCACCGGCUAACUUCGUG
rnacentral:rRNA from 1 species